rnacentral:rRNA from 1 species
UACAGAGGGUGCGAGCGUUAAUCGGAAUUACUGGGCGUAAAGCGUGCGUAGGCGGCUUUUCAAGUCGAUUGUGAAAUCCCCGGGCUUAACCUGGGAACUGCAGUCGAGACUGUCUAGCUAGAGUAUGGGAGAGGGAAGUGGAAUUUCAGGUGUAGCGGUGAAAUGCGUAGAUAUCUGAAGGAACAUCAGUGGCGAAAGCGACUUCCUGGACCAAUACUGACGCUCAUGUGCGAAAGCGUGGGGAGCAAACAGG